rnacentral:rRNA from 1 species
GUGUCAGCCGCCGCGGUAAUACGUAGGGUGCAAGCGUUAAUCGGAAUUACUGGGCGUAAAGCGUGCGCAGGCGGUCUUGCAAGACAGAUGUGAAAUCCCCGGGCUCAACCUGGGAACUGCAUUUGUGACUGCAAGGCUGGAGUGCGGCAGAGGGGGAUGGAAUUCCGCGUGUAGCAGUGAAAUGCGUAGAUAUGCGGAGGAACACCGAUGGCGAAGGCAAUCCCCUGGGCCUGCACUGACGCUCAUGCACGAAAGCGUGGGGAGCAAACAGGAUUAGAAACCAUGGGAGUAC